rnacentral:rRNA from 1 species
GACGAACGCUGGCGGCGUGCUUAACACAUGCAAGUCGAGCGGUAAGGCCCUUUCGGGGGUACACGAGCGGCGAACGGGUGAGUAACACGUGGGUGACCUGCCCUCAGCUCUGGGAUAAGCCUGGGAAACCGGGUCUAAUACUGGAUAUGACUCCAUGACGCAUGUUGUGGGGUGGAAAGCCUUGUGCGGCUGAGGAUGGGCCCGCGGCCUAUCAGCUUGUUGGUGGGGNGAUGGCCUACCAAGGCGACGACGGGUAGCCGGCCUGAGAGGGCGACCGGCCACACUGGGACUGAGACACGGCCCAGACUCCUACGGGAGGCAGCAGU